rfam:Magnaporthe oryzae 70-15 chromosome 6, whole genome shotgun sequence.
GCCCUGGUAGCUCAAUUGGCUAGAGCGUCGGACUUUUAAUCCGAAGGCUGCGGGUUCGACCCCCGCCUGGGGCG